GAGUGGUUCUCCCUCCACAGACCCAAAAGGCUGAACUGGUGAACCUGCUGCAUCUGUGGGCAGAAUUAGGAUGAAAAGCACUACCUCUGUGAAAUACAAAAUCUCUGUGGAAGAAAAAUCAAUUCAGUUCUUGCAGUGAGCUUUCCGGACCACUGUCUUGUAUGUUUCCUAAGAAAAGCAAAAAGGGAAGAGAUUGAAGAGAAAGUAGAUUUUCAACUACAAACUUUCAUCCAUUUGCUUUCAGCUUAAGCAAAUGUGCGCAAAGUUGUCAUGGAUUUUUGCAGUCAAUAAAAACCAAGCAAGAAGACUGAAUCCCAAGUCAUCUGGUAUAAAUGGAAGCAGUUUCUGUGAUAGUUCCACGCGGUCAGAAGGGUCAUCCUGGCUUAGGAGAGGGGCAGAAGAGGAAAUGCACGCGUGGAAACAGGAGUGGGCAGGGAGGAUGUGACACUGUCCUCCUCACCAGGCCACGUUCCUGGCACCAACCAUAGUGUUUGUGAGGGUCAAUUUAAUUGUUCUUGUGCUCUCAUAGAGGAAGCUGUGUCUUUCAUCCCCUUGUAAGAGUUUUCACUGAUGAAGGGGGUCUUUUAUCUUCAUAUCUUGGGAACUACUGAAACUGUUUCAAAGAGUCAAAGACACCAAUAACUAACAGAAAUUCUUGUUUUCAGGGGCAGAUAAGAAAAGAAACAAUUUGCUGAAACUCCCUCUGCUUAUAACAAAACUGACUGAAAUCAGCCGGAAUCAAUAUGGCCAAAUGCAGUUUGCGCACAGCAAGCUUGCUGAUGUCACAGCCUGAAUUUCUACUGCAUGUUUCAUAC
rnacentral:lncRNA from 10 species